UACAGAGGUCUCAAGCGUUGUUCGGAUUCAUUGGGCGUAAAGGGUGCGUAGGCGGCGCGGUAAGUCGGGUGUGAAAUCUCGGGGCUUAACUCCGAAACUGCAUUCGAUACUGCCGUGCUUGAGGACUGGAGGGGAGACUGGAAUUUACGGUGUAGCGGUGAAAUGCGUAGAUAUCGUAAGGAAGACCAGUGGCGAAGGCGGGUCUCUGGACAGUUCCUGACACUGAGGCACGAAGGCCAGGGGAGCAAACGGG
rnacentral:rRNA from 1 species